CAAUCCUAGAGAUAGGACGUCCCCUUCGGGGGCAGAGUGACAGGUGGUGCAUGGUUGUCGUCAGCUCGUGUCGUGAGAUGUUGGGUUAAGUCCCGCAACGAGCGCAACCCUUGAUUUUAGUUGCCAGCAUUCAGUUGGGCACUUUAAGGUGACUGCCGGUGACAAACCGGAGGAAGGUGGGGAGGACGUCAAAUCAUCAUGCCCCUUAUGACCUGGGCUACACACGUGCUACAAUGGGCAGAACAAAGGGCAGCGAAACCGCGAGGUUAAGCCAAUCCCACAAAUCUGUUCUCAGUUCGGAUCGCAGUCUGCAACUCGACUGCGUGAAGCUGGAAUCGCUAGUAAUCGCGGAUCAGCAUGCCGCGGUGAAUACGUUCCCGGGCCUUGUACACACCGCCCGUCACACCACGAGAGUUUGUAACACCCGAAGUCGGUGAGGUAACCUU
rnacentral:rRNA from 1 species